rnacentral:rRNA from 1 species
ACUCUCUGGUCUGUAACUGACGCUGAGGAGCGAAAGCGUGGGGAGCGAACAGGAUUAGAUACCCUGGUAGUCCACGCCGUAAACGAUGAGUGCUAAGUGUUAGGGGGUUUCCGCCCCUUAGUGCUGCAGCUAACGCAUUAAGCACUCCGCCUGGGGAGUACGGUCGCAAGACUGAAACUCAAAGGAAUUGACGGGGGCCCGCACAAGCGGUGGAGCAUGUGGUUUAAUUCGAAGCAACGCGAAGAACCUUACCAGGUCUUGACAUCCUCUGACAAUCCUAGAGAUAGGACGUCCCCUUCGGGGGCAGAGUGACAGGUGGUGCAUGGUUGUCGUCAGCUCGUGUCGUGAGAUGUUGGGUUAAGUCCCGCAACGAGCGCAACCCUUGAUCUUAGUUGCCAGCAUUCAGUUGGGCACUCUAAGGUGACUGCCGGUGACAAACCGGAGGAAGGUGGGGAUGACGUCAAAUCAUCAUGCCCCUUAUGACCUGGGCUACACACGUGCUACAAUGG